UCUUUCAUCAUUCAAGAAAUUCUCUCAAAAUUGCUUUCUUCUUCUUCUUCUUCUUCCCCUUCUUCCAUCGACGUUGCUUCAUCUUAUUUUCUAUUUUCAUUCUUUUUCGUCCACUGCUUCAUUUUCGUCCUUGUCCGCUACUUCUUGGUCCUCUUCUUCUUCUUAAUCCUUCUUCCGCUGUCGCUACAAGUCCUUCUUGCCACAUCUUUUUUCUAUCACUACAUCAGUAACUAUUCAACUUCAAAAGAUUGAAAUUGGGAAUGAAGGAAAGGAAUUUGACAUACAAACAUGAGUGACCGAAACACAAGAUGAUUUCAAAUUUAUUCCAACUCUACCUUUGGAAACCCCAAAAACACAAAAAUUGACACCAGAGUUGGAUGAUGGAAAGGAAAAGUAAAUUGAAUUUGAAGCUAUGGAACAUGUGGAAAAAACUGAUCACCUUCACCAUAAGCCUGUAAAAGAAGGAGAGAAUGUUGUUGAACGAGAAGAGCAUGUUGGUAAGGAAGAGGGGCGAGUUGUUGAGGAAGACGUUGAAGAAGAAAAUGAGAAUGAAAAGAAUAGAAGACUUGAAAAUAAAAUAAAACAACUAAGGGAAAAGAAAGCUAAUAGUUGCCUGCUUUAUCACUAGAUAUUUGAUAUCAUGAUAGAUAGAGUGAUAGUGGUGUAUCACUGUCUAUCAUGAUAGAGAGUGAUAGACCCUAUCACUAUCUAUGAAUGGUAGAUAGUGAGAUUUUUUUAUAAAUUUUUUUAUAUGUUAAUAUUAUAUUCAUAUCUUUCUUGCUAUAUAAAUAUAAAUA